rnacentral:rRNA from 1 species
GGGUUGUGAGGUUAAGCGACUAAGCGUACACGGUGGAUGCCCUGGCAGUCAGAGGCGAUGAAGGACGUGCUAAUCUGCGAUAAGCGUCGGUGAGGUGAUAUGAACCGUUAUAACCGGCGAUUUCCGAAUGGGGAAACCCAGUGUGUUUCGACACACUAUCAUUAACUGAAUCCAUAGGUUAAUGAGGCGAACCGGGGGAACUGAAACAUCUAAGUACCCCGAGGAAAAGAAAUCAACCGAGAUUCCCCAGUAGCGGCGAGCGAACGGGGAGGAGCCCAGAGCCUGAAUCAGUGUGUGUGUUAGUGGAAGCGUCUGGAAAGGCGCGCGAUACAGGGUGACAGCCCCGUACACAAAAAUGCACAUAUUGUGAGCUCGAUGAGUAGGGCGGGACACGUGGUAUCCUGUCUGAAUAUGGGGGGACCAUCCUCCAAGGCUAAAUACUCCUGACUGACCGAUAGUGAACCAGUACCGUGAGGGAAAGGCGAAAAGAACCCCGGCGAGGGGAGUGAAAAAGAACCUGAAACCGUGUACGUACAAGCAGUGGGAGCCUCUUAAUGGGGUGACUGCGUACCUUUUGUAUAAUGGGUCAGCGACUUAUAUUCUGUAGCAAGGUUAACCGAAUAGGGGAGCCGAAGGGAAACCGAGUCUUAACUGGGCGUUAAGUUGCAGGGUAUAGACCCGAAACCCGGUGAUCUAGCCAUGGGCAGGUUGAAGGUUGGGUAACACUAACUGGAGGACCGAACCGACUAAUGUUGAAAAAUUAGCGGAUGACUUGUGGCUGGGGGUGAAAGGCCAAUCAAACCGGGAGAUAGCUGGUUCUCCCGAAAGCUAUUUAGGUAGCGCCUCGUGAAUUCAUCUCCGGGGGUAGAGCACUGUUUCGGCAAGGGGGUCAUCCCGACUUACCAACCCGAUGCAAACUGCGAAUACCGGAGAAUGUUAUCACGGGAGACACACGGCGGGUGCUAACGUCCGUCGUGAAGAGGGAAACAACCCAGACCGCCAGCUAAGGUCCCAAAGUCAUGGUUAAGUGGGAAACGAUGUGGGAAGGCCCAGACAGCCAGGAUGUUGGCUUAGAAGCAGCCAUCAUUUAAAGAAAGCGUAAUAGCUCACUGGUCGAGUCGGCCUGCGCGGAAGAUGUAACGGGGCUAAACCAUGCACCGAAGCUGCGGCAGCGACACUAUGUGUUGUUGGGUAGGGGAGCGUUCUGUAAGCCUGUGAAGGUGGCCUGUGAGGGUUGCUGGAGGUAUCAGAAGUGCGAAUGCUGACAUAAGUAACGAUAAAGCGGGUGAAAAGCCCGCUCGCCGGAAGACCAAGGGUUCCUGUCCAACGUUAAUCGGGGCAGGGUGAGUCGACCCCUAAGGCGAGGCCGAAAGGCGUAGUCGAUGGGAAACAGGUUAAUAUUCCUGUACUUGGUGUUACUGCGAAGGGGGGACGGAGAAGGCUAUGUUGGCCGGGCGACGGUUGUCCCGGUUUAAGCGUGUAGGCUGGUUUUCCAGGCAAAUCCGGAAAAUCAAGGCUGAGGCGUGAUGACGAGGCACUACGGUGCUGAAGCGACAAAUGCCCUGCUUCCAGGAAAAGCCUCUAAGCAUCAGGUAACAUCAAAUCGUACCCCAAACCGACACAGGUGGUCAGGUAGAGAAUACCAAGGCGCUUGAGAGAACUCGGGUGAAGGAACUAGGCAAAAUGGUGCCGUAACUUCGGGAGAAGGCACGCUGAUAUGUAGGUGAAGCGACUUGCUCGUGGAGCUGAAAUCAGUCGAAGAUACCAGCUGGCUGCAACUGUUUAUUAAAAACACAGCACUGUGCAAACACGAAAGUGGACGUAUACGGUGUGACGCCUGCCCGGUGCCGGAAGGUUAAUUGAUGGGGUUAGCGGUAACGCGAAGCUCUUGAUCGAAGCCCCGGUAAACGGCGGCCGUAACUAUAACGGUCCUAAGGUAGCGAAAUUCCUUGUCGGGUAAGUUCCGACCUGCACGAAUGGCGUAAUGAUGGCCAGGCUGUCUCCACCCGAGACUCAGUGAAAUUGAACUCGCUGUGAAGAUGCAGUGUACCCGCGGCAAGACGGAAAGACCCCGUGAACCUUUACUAUAGCUUGACACUGAACAUUGAGCCUUGAUGUGUAGGAUAGGUGGGAGGCUUUGAAGUGUGGACGCCAGUCUGCAUGGAGCCGACCUUGAAAUACCACCCUUUAAUGUUUGAUGUUCUAACGUGGGCCCCUUACCGGGGUUGCGGACAGUGUCUGGUGGGUAGUUUGACUGGGGCGGUCUCCUCCUAAAGAGUAACGGAGGAGCACGAAGGUUGGCUAAUCCUGGUCGGACAUCAGGAGGUUAGUGCAAUGGCAUAAGCCAGCUUGACUGCGAGCGUGACGGCGCGAGCAGGUGCGAAAGCAGGUCAUAGUGAUCCGGUGGUUCUGAAUGGAAGGGCCAUCGCUCAACGGAUAAAAGGUACUCCGGGGAUAACAGGCUGAUACCGCCCAAGAGUUCAUAUCGACGGCGGUGUUUGGCACCUCGAUGUCGGCUCAUCACAUCCUGGGGCUGAAGUAGGUCCCAAGGGUAUGGCUGUUCGCCAUUUAAAGUGGUACGCGAGCUGGGUUUAGAACGUCGUGAGACAGUUCGGUCCCUAUCUGCCGUGGGCGCUGGAGAACUGAGGGGGGCUGCUCCUAGUACGAGAGGACCGGAGUGGACGCAUCACUGGUGUUCGGGUUGUCAUGCCAAUGGCACUGCCCGGUAGCUAAAUGCGGAAGAGAUAAGUGCUGAAAGCAUCUAAGCACGAAACUUGCCCCGAGAUGAGUUCUCCCUGACUCCUUGAGAGUCCUGAAGGAACGUUGAAGACGACGACGUUGAUAGGCCGGGUGUGUAAGCGCAGCGAUGCGUUGAGCUAACCGGUACUAAUGAACCGUGAGGCUUAACCUUACAACGCCGAAG